UGGGGGGAUAUUGGACAAUGGGGGCAACCCUGAUCCAGCGACGCCGCGUGAGGGAAGAAGGUUUUCGGAUUGUAAACCUCUGUUGACGGAGAAAAAGAUGAUGGUAUCCGUUUAGAAAGCCACGGCUAACUACGUGCCAGCAGCCGCGGUAAUACGUAGGUGGCAAGCGUUGUCCGGAAUUACUGGGUGUAAAGGGAGUGUAGGCGGGAUUUUAAGUCAGAAGUGAAAAUUACGGGCUCAACUCGUAACCUGCUUUUGAAACUGAAAUUCUUGAGUGAAGUAGAGGCAAGCGGAAUUCCUAGUGUAG
rnacentral:rRNA from 1 species